GGAGGCAUUUAAUUCCAGUCUGCACAGUCGCACAAUCCAACCCUAAGCACACAGCAGAGGUCAGCCAAGAAACAAAAAUAAAAACACCCCACAACGACAGAGUUACAUCCCUGAGGGUAACUUGGUUUCCACAAAACCUCCAAGAUGUUUCUUACCCCCAAGAACAUCGUGCAGACUUCUACGCAGCGACUACAGGUUAUUGACCAGCGUCCAUGGGAAAGGCCCCAGGUCCACAUCCCCCGGGGACUGUUUAGUGGACUUUUCCUCCAGGGAGGGCAAGCACCCAUCUUGGCCACACCACCAAGUCCCCUCCCAGGAAGCAGGUGAAAGGGCCUCGCGCCCCAUCUGAGGUGCACGUCAAGGCUCCGUGCAUCCCUCCCACUCACAUGCAGCUCCUAGGCCUCCCCAGGGCUCUGGCCGCCUGCUUUGGACAUGACAGACCACGAGGGCCCAGUGCGUGUCUAUGUUUGGUGCUCUUAGGAUUGAGCCAAGUCGCGUAAGACAAAAAUGUCCAAGUGCAGGAGCAUGGUGCUCAAGUCAUGGAGCAGCGGCCGCUUCCCAUGCCCCAUGCUGGAGAUGCUUCUGGCAGGUCUGCUCACGACUGGUCCAGGGGCAUCCUUGCAGCUCCCACUCCACUUCCCAUGGGAACUGCAUUCUGGUUUUGCCCUACGACGCGGAUGCUGCCACGUGACGCCCCGACACCCACCAACCCAGGAACUCCUGCUGGGAAAUAUGGUGGGGAAAAGCCAGAAAGAACCCAAGGUGCCAGCACUGACCCCCACCAGGCAGGGCGGGACAGGCUCUUGACUUUGGGCCCACCUCACGCCAGCUCUGAAGACCAACUUCGCCAGCGCUGACUUCCAGACAUGGUCUCAAGCAUCAGCUCAGAAUAAGUAACACAUUGAUCAGCCUGUGGCCUUGACUUUUGAUGCACUAUCUGUGGCUGGGCAGGAGGACUGGCCAACUCACACCUUUACACAACUACCCUCCGAAAGCCAGCGCCCAGCCCUGGACCCCUUGAACCCUGGGCUGACCAGCCAGCCAGGCGCCCCGGAACUGCAGGCCAGGAUUGGAACCCAGGGCCCCUGUCUGCAGGAGCAAGACACAGACGUAGCUGCCCGUGGAGGUCCACACGGGCACAGGAAGCGUGGGACACUGUGCCACUGUGCCAGGUGGCUGCAGCACCCAGCAGCAGGCCAACGCUCACUUGCCCGUGGGACUGCGAUGCGAAGAUGCAUGUCCGCUCAUCCUCCUCCAUAAGCAGUCAUGGCAGGCACCACGAUACAAGGAAGCCACUCGAAUUUGGCUCUACCUCUAACAAAGACGGUUUUUGCUCAAAAACACACAGGAGUGGCCAAGCGGGUUCAGGAACCAUGUCAGGAGAAAAUCACACAAUGGUUAAAAACAAACAAAAAAAA